CGUGUGGUGUCCGGCAAUAAAAGGCCCGGAUAGCGACACGGCCAAAACCUGAGGU
rnacentral:ncRNA from 1 species